rnacentral:rRNA from 1 species
UACAGAGGGGGCAAGCGUUAUUCGGAAUUAUUGGGCGUAAAGGGCGCGUAGGCGGCUUGGCAAGUGGAAGGUGAAAUCCCUCGGCUUAACCGAGGAACUGCCCUCCAAACUGCUUUGCUUGAGGCCGGGAGAGGUGAGUGGAAUUCCCAGUGUAGCGGUGAAAUGCGUAGAUAUUGGGAGGAACACCAGUGGCGAAGGCGGCUCACUGGACCGGUUCUGACGCUGAUUCGCGAAAGCGUGGGGAGCAAACGGG